rnacentral:rRNA from 1 species
AAUGAACGCUGGCGGCAGGCCUAAUACAUGCAAGUCGAGCGGGGUGAUGGUGCUUGCACUAUCACUUAGCGGCGGACGGGUGAGUAAUGCUUAGGAAUCUGCCUAUUAGUGGGGGACAACAUCUCGAAAGGGAUGCUAAUACCGCAUACGUCCUACGGGAGAAAGCAGGGGAUCACUUGUGAUCUUGCGCUAAUGGAUGAGCCUAAGUCGGAUUAGCUAGUUGGUGGGGUAAAGGCCUACCAAGGCGACGAUCUGUAGCGGGUCUGAGAGGAUGAUCCGCCACACUGGGACUGAGACACGGCCCAGACUCCUACGGGGGGCAGCAGUGGGGAAUAUUGGACAAUGGGGGGAACCCUGAUCCAGCCAUGCCGCGUGUGUGAAGAAGGCCUUAUGGUUGUAAAGCACUUUAAGCGAGGAGGAGGCUCUUUUGGUUAAUACCCAAGAUGAGUGGACGUUACUCGCAGAAUAAGCACCGGCUAACUCUGUGCCAGCCGCCGCCGUAA